rnacentral:rRNA from 1 species
AUUUUAGCCGUGAAAGAUUUAACUGUGAAAUCUUUGAACAAUACUCAUUGGGAGAGUAGGAUCAAAAGUGUUAAAGCAAUUAGAUGUCAAUCUCUUGAGAUAAGAUCAGUUUUGCUUGAGUUAAGUGAAGAUAGUGGGAUAUACAUAACCCAAAGAUAGGAGUGAUGAAAAAAAUUGUUUGAAGUGCUUGACAGCUAUGAGCUUAUACUUGGUAUGGUCAUUUGGCAUGACAUUCUAUUUGCUGUAGAUACAGUGAGCAGGAAGUGGCAAUCACCAUCCAUGUGCACUGAUGUUGCCUUAACGCAAAUAGAUGGUGUGAAGAAUUACUUUAACACUUAUAGAAAAGAAGGGUUUCUUUCUAGUUUCACUAUUGCUAGAGAAAUUGCAACUGAAAUGGGUGUAGAGCCAUCAAUGCCAGUAAAACGACGUGCUAGGAGGAAACAAUUUGAUGAACAUGACAGUGAUGAAGCAAUUUUGGAAGCUGAGAAGGAUUUUGAAGUUAAUUAUUUUCUAUUUAUGGUUGACAAGACAAUAACUUCAAUGGAAAUAAGAUUUCAUGAACUCCAAUCAUUCAAAAAUAUAUUUGGAUUUUUAAUGAGUUCAACGACCUUGAAGUCAUUGAACCGUCCUGAACUUAAAGAUAGUUGCACUAAAUUUGCAAGUUCUUUCUCUUCGGAUGGUUCAUCUGAUGUUGAUUUGAAUGAUCUGAUUUCUGAGUUGACGUUAUGCAGUCAACUUUUGCCUGAUAAUCCAAUGUCUGCUGUGGAUAUUUUUUAG